rnacentral:rRNA from 1 species
GCUACACAUGCAGUCGUACGAUGAAGCCGAGCUUGCUCUGGUGGAUUAGUGGCGAACGGGUGAGUAACACGUGAGUAACCUGCCCUUGACUCUGGAAUAAGCGUUGGAAACGACGUCUAAUACCGGAUACGAGCUUCCGCCGCAUGGUGAGGAGCUGGAAAGAAUUUCGGUCAAGGAUGGACUCGCGGCCUAUCAGGUAGUUGGUGAGGUAAUGGCUCACCAAGCCUACGACGGGUAGCCGGCCUGAGAGGGUGACCGGCCACACUGGAACUGAGACACGGUCCAGACUCCUACGGGAGGCAGCAGUGGGGAAUAUUGCACAAUGGGCGCAAGCCUGAUGCAGCAACGCCGCGUGAGGGACGACGGCCUUCGGGUUGUAAACCUCUUUUAGUAGGGAAGAAGCGAAAGUGACGGUACCUGCAGAAAAAGCACCGGCUAACUACGUGCCAGCAGCCGCGGUAAUACGUAGGGUGCAGCGUUAUCCGGAAUUAUUGGGCGUAAAGAGCUCGUAGCGGUUUGUCGCG